rnacentral:rRNA from 1 species
GGCAAGCGUUGUCCGGAUUUACUGGGUGUAAAGGGCGUGUAGGCGGAGGCGCAAGUUGGGAGUGAAAUCUAUGGGCUCAACCCAUAAACUGCUUUCAAAACUGUGUCUCUUGAGUGCCGGAGAGGCAAGCGGAAUUCCUAGUGUAGCGGUGAAAUGCGUAGAUAUUAGGAGGAACACCAGUGGCGAAGGCGGCUUGCUGGACGAUAACUGACGCUGAGGCACGAAAGCGUGGGGA